rnacentral:rRNA from 1 species
UAGGGAAUCUUCGGCAAUGGGGGGAACCCUGACCGAGCAACGCCGCGUGAGUGAAGAAGGUUUUCGGAUCGUAAAGCUCUGUUGUUAAGGAAGAACGAGUGUGAGAAUGGAAAGUUCAUGCUGUGACGGUACUUAACCAGAAAGGGACGGCUAACUACGUGCCAGCAGCCGCGGUAAUACGUAGGUCCCGAGCGUUGUCCGGAUUUAUUGGGCGUAAAGCGAGCGCAGGCGGUUAGAAAAGUCUGAAGUGAAAGGCAGUGGCUCAACCAUUGUAGGCUUUGGAAACUGUUUAACUUGAGUGCAGAAGGGGAGAGUGGAAUUCCAUGUGUAGCGGUGAAAUGCGUAGAUAUAUGGAAGAACACCGGUGGCGAAAGCAGCUCUCUGGUCUGUAACUGACGCUGAGGCUCGAAAGCGUGGGGAGCGAUCAGG